rnacentral:lncRNA from 1 species
UUGCAAAUAAAUUUUGUGUAUAGAAAUAAAUCAACUUCAAGUAUGUAUGACUUUAUAGUUAUGGAUGGUGGAUCUCAUUAUCCAUUUUAUUUGACCAAAAUAUAUAUGCACAAAUCUGUUUUUCCUCUGAAUGAAGGCAUGUGUAAAAUUUAUUAUUAUUUCUAAAGACCCUUCGGAUGCUAUUGUUCUUAAUUCUGAAUUUUGAGGUGAAACUUUGUGUUCAUUCGAGAUCUAUUUCUCUCUUUCUAGAUAAAUGUUGGCUUUCAACAAUUAAAGUUAGCAUUUAAAGAACGGUACAAGAUAUUUUUCGAUGAUUAUAUAUGUGAAUUUGAAGCUAAUUUGAAUACAACCAAAUACUUCACAAACAUCUCUUUAACUUAGAAUGCAAACGUUACAUCAACAAAUAGCUCACCAAUUCAAAGAACUUUUAAAUAUGACGUUGUAACCUAGCAAACAAAAAACGAAAGCAGGAGUAGUUAUUUGAGAAUUUCAAAUAUGUAUUUUGAUUUUCUUUUGAAUGCUUAUGUCUACAAUCCACCAUACCUCCGUUUGUCGUAAUAACUUUUGUUUAUUGUAAUAUAAAUAUGUUAAACCUUUGUAGAUUGAAACAACUCUGUUUUUUGCUUAAUAUUACCAUCAUCAAUGAAAAUACUUGUGGACACAAUUUAUAUAAUCCAAUAUAAUCUUCAUGCAAAGCAGGUUUUCCACUAAAAUCUCACAAAACCAAAAUUCAAUACUAUUACUUACACUACAUUACCAACUACACGUGUAACGUACAUGCAUUCACUAUUCAGAGAAUCCAUAGAACACUGUUCAUUUAUGAAGCUUUCUUACUUUUCUCAUUUUACCCUUCAAUCCCAUUUUGCUAAUUUUGAACCUCUGAGCCUAAUUGUCUUUCCAUACGGAUACAAAAUAUCUCCUUUGACUGUCUGGACCGAAAGUUUUCUAUACUAAUCCCUAAUUGCUCUCUCAAUAGAAAAAGACGAAAUUCAACCGACGACUGGAGAAGAAGCUAACUGAGACGUAUACUUGUGAGUACAGUUGUUACUGCAUUGAUUUCUUUUUGUUUUGCAUAUAUUGGAUUUUCUUUUUUGAGUUAUAUUGUUCAAUCCAUGCUUAGUUUUAAUUUUUUAUUUUUUGGUUCGAUCUUCGAAGAGUUCGAAUCUGAAAUAUGUAAAGCCAUGUUUCAAGGGAUGGUUAAGGUUAUUAGGAUAGUGUGUAUAUGUUUUUCAAUUUAUGUAGUCGUGCAAUUUUUGUUCUUCUUUUUCUUCUUUUAAGAGAUCGAACCCAAAAUAUAUAAAGUUUGUUUCUUUGAUGUUAUUUUUAUGCAUUUUUUUGUUCUAUUUGUUCCUUUGUUAUAUGUUUUUUGCUUUCUUGUAUUUUUUUUUAUUUCUAUAGUUGUCGUGAGGAAUAUGUUAUUUCUUGUUCAAUAUUUUUUUCCCACUUGCCUUCUUUUUUU